rnacentral:rRNA from 1 species
GAUGAACGCUGGCGGCGUGCCUAAUACAUGCAAGUCGAGCGAACAGACGAGGAGCUUGCUCCUCUGACGUUAGCGGCGGACGGGUGAGUAGCACGUGGAUAACCUGCCUAUAAGACUGGGAUAACUUCGGGAAACCGGAGCUAAUACCGGAUAAUAUAUUGAACCGCAUGGUUCAAUAGUGAAAGACGGUUUUGCUGUCACUUAUAGAUGGAUCCGCGCCGCAUUAGCUAGUUGGUAAGGUAACGGCUUACCAAGGCGACGAUGCGUAGCCGACCUGAGAGGGUGAUCGGCCACACUGGAACUGAGACACGGUCCAGACUCCUACGAGAGGCAGCAGUAGGGAAUCUUCCGCAAUGGGCGAAAGCCUGACGGAGCAACGCCGCGUGAGUGAUGAAGGUCUUCGGAUCGUAAAACUCUGUUAUUAGGGAAGAACAAAUGUGUAAGUAACUAUGCACGUCUUGACGGUACCUAAUCAGAAAGCCACGGCUAACUACGUG